rnacentral:rRNA from 1 species
UACGUAGGUGGCAAGCGUUGUCCGGAUUUACUGGGCGUAAAGAGCGCGCAGGCGGUCGUUCAAGUCGCGUGUGAAAGCCCCCGGCUCAACUGGGGAGGGUCACGCGAUACUGAUCGACUCGAAGGCAGGAGAGGGAAGUGGAAUUCCCGGUGUAGUGGUGAAAUGCGUAGAUAUCGGGAGGAACACCAGUGGCGAAGGCGACUUCCUGGCCUGUUCUUGACGCUGAGGCGCGAAAGCGUGGGGAGCGAUCCGG